rnacentral:rRNA from 2 species
AGUAAUGCUUGGGAAUCUAGCUUAUGGAGGGGGAUAACUACGGGAAACUGUAGCUAAUACCGCGUAGUAUCGAGAGAUGAAAGUGUGGGACCUUCGGGCCACAUGCCAUAGGAUGAGCCCAAGUGGGAUUAGGUAGUUGGUGAGGUAAAGGCUCACCAAGCCGACGAUCUCUAGCUGGUCUGAGAGGAUGACCAGCCACACUGGGACUGAGACACGGCCCAG